rnacentral:rRNA from 1 species
GACGAACCGUGCGAACGUUGUUCGGAAUCACUGGGCUUAAAGGGCGCGUAGGCGGGCGGUCAAGUCAGAGGUGAAAUCCCACGGCUCAACCGUGGAAGUGCCCCUGAUACUGAUCGUCUCGAGGGAGGUAGGGGCGUGCGGAACUUCCGGUGGAGCGGUGAAAUGCGUAGAUAUCGGAAGGAACACCGAUGGCGAAAGCAGCGCGCUGGAUCUCUACUGACGCUGAGGCGCGAAAGCCAGGGGAGCAAACGGG